rnacentral:rRNA from 1 species
GCAUAUCAAUAAGCGGAGGAAAAGAAACCAACAGGGAUUGCCCUAGUAACGGCGAGUGAAGCGGCAACAGCUCAAAUUUGAAAUCUGGCUCUUUUAGAGUCCGAGUUGUAAUUUGCAGAGGGCGCUUUGGCUUUGGCAGCGGUCCAAGUUCCUUGGAACAGGACGUCACAGAGGGUGAGAAUCCCGUACGUGGUCGCUAGCUAUUGCCGUGUAAAGCCCCUUCGACGAGUCGAGUUGUUUGGGAAUGCAGCUCUAAAUGGGAGGUAAAUUUCUUCUAAAGCUAAAUACUGGCCAGAGACCGAUAGCGCACAAGUAGAGUGAUCGAAAGAUGAAAAGCACUUUGGAAAGAGAGUCAAACAGCACGUGAAAUUGUUGAAAGGGAAGCGCUUGCAGCCAGACUUGCUUGCAGUUGCUCAUCCGGGCUUUUGCCCGGUGCACUCUUCUGCAGGCAGGCCAGCAUCAGUUUGGGCGGUGGGAUAAAGGUCUCUGUCACGUACCUCUCUUCGGGGAGGCCUUAUAGGGGAGACGACAUACCACCAGCCUGGACUGAGGUCCGCGCAUUCGCUAGGAUGCUGGCGUAAUGGCUGUAAGCGGCCCGUCUUGAAACACGGACCAAGGAGUCUAACAUCUAUGCGAGUGUUUGGGUGUCAAGCCCGAACGCGUAAUGAAAGUGAACGGAGGUGGGAACCCGCAAGGGUGCACCAUCGACCGAUCCUGAUGUCCUCGGAAGGAUUUGAGUAAGAGCAUGGCUGUUGGGACCCGAAAGAUGGUGAACUAUGCUUGAAUAGGGUGAAGCCAGAGGAAACUCUGGUGGAGGCUCGCAGCGGCUCUGACGUGCAAAUCGAUCGUCAAAUUUGGGCAGAAGGGCGAAAGACUAAUC